rnacentral:lncRNA from 1 species
AGAGGCCUUUUCCUGAUACCCAGCUUUCUUGGGGAAUUUCCCAAGAAAAAGCCUAAGCUGUGCGGAGUGUUGUGGACGCUGGACUUUUGACUAAACUUGUCGACUGCUUCCAAGUUCAGUGUUGUGUAUUUGCGGGCACACCAGGAAACGUAUUCAAAAUUUGGGAAACCAGAGCAUGGUCAGUCGAGAUCUGAUGAAGCAAUAAAAGGCCAAUCAACUAUCAUGGUUACUGUAGCUGGAAUAGUGAGAUAUGAAAAAAAAGCCUGCACAGCCAUUUCGUCAAGAUUUCCUCAUAACAGCACAAGAGAGUAAAUGGAAAGUUGUUUGUGAUUGCCUUCGCUUCCAGAAAGUUCUUUCCUAAAUACUUACAAUACAGUAAUAUUUUGUCUAAA